rnacentral:snRNA from 1 species
AGCUUUUCACAGUGGCAGUAUUGUAGCCAUUGAGAUUUAUCCAAGGCACAAUUAUUGCUCACUGAAAACUUUUCCCAAUUAUGC